rnacentral:tRNA from 1 species
CGCGGGGUGGAGCAGCCUGGUAGCUCGUCGGGCUCAUAACCCGAAGGUCGUCGGUUCAAAUCCAGGCCCCCGCAACCA